rnacentral:rRNA from 1 species
CGGAACGUCCUCCGACUCGUUCUCACUGCCAGCUCUCGCUGCAAAGCACAUCUUUGAUGUCAUUUUUUCACUUUCAUGUCGAUGGCUCUCUCGGGCCACGUCUACUCAUUCACAACUUUCAGCGAUGGAUGUCUCGGUUCGAUCAACGAUGAAGGGCGCAGCGAAGUGCGAUAAGCAUUGUGAAUUGCAGAAUUCCGUGAACCGACAGGGACUUGAACGCAUAUUGUGCUUUUGGGAUAUCCCUGAAAGCAUGCCUGCUUCAGUGUCUACGCUUUAUUGUUCCAGCAGCUGUAGCUCCUUACGGGGCAUGCUGCUCGUGAUCUCCUGCACCUCAGGACGUGCUCUCGGCGCUCUUGAGGUGUUCGAUGGACAAGGCCCUGCUUCGACAGCCAGCUUACUGAGCGCACUUCGGUGUCAUUUGGUUGCUGCGCGAUGUUGGGGCUUGAGGCUUUGCUUUCCUUUUUCCUGUGCCUCGCCCUCUGGGUGUGGCACAGCUUUCAAGACAUGAAGUCAGGUUGGCAAACCCGCUGAAUUUAAGCA